GCUUACGGCCAAUACCUCUCUGGCUCCGCCUGAUCUCGUCUGAUCUCAGAAGCUAAGCAGAGUAGGGCCUGGUUAGUACUUGGAUGGAAGACCGCCUGGGAAUCCCAGGUGCCGUAAGCU
ensembl:rRNA 5S_rRNA 5S ribosomal RNA